AAUAUGUCAUUUAUGAAAAUAAGAGAUCAAAGAUACUUAGGCCGAUGUAACAAAAUAAAUCUGAGAUACGAUAAAAUAUGAACAAAUCUUUGAAAUUAGAUCAUGAGUAGUUAUAUAUCCCUAACAGAUGCAUGAUAUUAUUGUUCUAAUGUGCUUCCUAGUUGCAGUCUUCUUAUCGAGUAUGAAUGUGUAUGAUAGAGAAUUUUAACCACAUCAAUUCCAUCAAGUGUGAAUGAGAGAUGUUGAAAAAUCGGAUGGGCGCCCAUGAUGGAUCGACCUAACUUGAUUCAAACUGUCGGGCAGUUUGAUGCAUGGCUUAAUGACCAUGUAAAAAGCUAUAUGUGUGUGGCAAUUUAUUUUUAUGGGACAGGGGCCAUAUUAGUGGUUUUUGUGCUGAUGAAUACAUAUAGGAGGAAUUGCAUAGAAGACAUUACAGAAAAACUGCAUGAAACCAAAAAAAAAAGGGAGGGGCAAAAAAUUCAUCUUUUUGUGAAACAAAAUAGAAAAUAGAGAAGACCUGUUGCCUCAAUUUUUCAAUGAGUUACGAUUUAUACUCAAUUAUUUAGUUUGUGUAAUUUAAUCCAGUAUAAUUUUUAUCUCUCUCUCUCGUGUGGCAUUUAAAUUGUGAAAAAUGAACCCAUUCCAUCUGUUAUCGAGUUUUCAUUGGGCCGGUGAUCCAAUCGAUAAAUUUGAUGCGGGGAUUUGCAAACACAUGGGUAGAAAUUCAUAAAUUCCACUUCCGAAUUUAAAUUCUUACAUAAGAAAAAAGGAUACAAAAUAUACCCAAAAUAUAUUAAAAAAAUAAAGUUGGGCAGCAGAAAACAAGAGCAAAGUUUUCCCUUAUGGCCACCGGAGACUAAUCUUUGAUAAAAAAUUUGAUGCUGCCGAAGACCGUAAACUAGACUUUGUUGAGUUGGUGAUUUUUUUUUCUUUUCAUCCAAAAAAGAGAAAGUGCGAUCAUUAUUCUAGCCAAAUGCAGUAGCAAGAAACAAACCCAUACUAAAAUCCCAACAAGAAGGUUCGCGUCGUGUAAUUUUUUGCAUCUUUAGAUUUCCUUCUUUUUAAACAAGAUAUAUUUUUGAUAUAUCUUAUCUUUUGGUUUGGCUCUAUUUGAUUGAAUCCAUUAUUUGCAUUUGUUCCAGGUGCAAAUCCAUUGAAUUAUAAUUGUAAAUACACAUCAUUAAUGUUCCCAAUUGA
rnacentral:lncRNA from 1 species